UACAGAGGGGGCAAGCGUUGUUCGGAAUUACUGGGCGUAAAGGGCGCGUAGGCGGCCUGUUAAGUCGGACGUGAAAUCCCCGGGCUCAACCCGGGAACUGCGUCCGAUACUGGCAGGCUUGAAUCCGGGAGAGGGAUGUGGAAUUCCAGGUGUAGCGGUGAAAUGCGUAGAUAUCUGGAGGAACACCGGUGGCGAAGGCGACCACCUGGACAGAGAUUGACGCUGAGGCGCGAGAGCGUGGGGAGCAAACAGG
rnacentral:rRNA from 1 species